CCCGACUGCUAUUUGGGUGAGGAUAAGCCAUGCGAGUUGUAUGGGAUACCUAAAUUUCCCAUGGCAAACUGCUUAGUAACACAUGAUCAACUUACCCUAUGGAGAAAAAUAACCUCGGGAAACUGAGGAUAAUGUUUCAUAGGUGAAUAGGCUUGGAAAAGUUUUUCAUCGAAAAGGAUAAGAAAAAUGGUUUUUAUCUGCUAUAGGAUAGGAUCGUGGUCGAUUAUGGUUGUUGGUGAGGUAACGGCUCACCAAGCCGACAAUCGAUAGGGGCCGUGAGAGCGGGAGCCCCAAGAUGGGUACUGAGACAGCGACCCAGGCCUUACGAGGCGCAGCAGGCGCGGAACCUCCGCAAUACACGAAAGUGUGACGGGGUUACCCAAAGUGUUCUUUUAAGAACUGUGGUAGGUGAGUAAUAUCCCCUACUAGAAAGGAGAGGGCAAGGCUGGUGCCAGCCGCCGCGGUAAAACCAGCUCUUCAAGUGGUCGGGAUAAUUAUUGGGCUUAAAGUGUCCGUAGCCGGUUUAGUAAGUUCCUGGUAAAAUCGGGUAGCUUAACUAUCCGCAUGCUAGGAAUACUGCUAUACUAGAGGGCGGGAGAGGUCUGAGGUACUACAGGGGUAGGGGUGAAAUCUUAUAAUCCUUGUAGGACCACCAGUGGCGAAGGCGUCAGACUGGAACGCGCCUGACGGUGAGGGACGAAAGCCAGGGGAGCGAACCGGAUUAGAUACGUUGGUGUUAUUUGAAUGUAAUGUAAGAAUUACUAACACAAUGCUAAAAACCCGGGUAGUCCUGGCCGUAAACGAUGCAUACUAGGUGAUGAUACGGCCAUGAGCCGUGUCAGUGCCGUAGGGAAACCGUUAAGUGUGCCGCCUGGGAAGUACGGUCGCAAGGCUAAAACUUAAAGGAAUUGGCGGGGGAGCACCACAAGGGGUGAAGCCUGCGGUUCAAUUGGAUUCAACGCCGG
rnacentral:rRNA from 1 species